rnacentral:rRNA from 1 species
AGAGUUUGAUCCUGGCUCAGGAUGAACGCUGGCGGCGUGUCUAAGGCAUGCAAGUCGAAUGCUAGUAGCAAUACUGGCAUGGCAAACGGGAGAGUAACACAUUGGCAAUUUACCCCAAAGACGAGGAUAACCUUGCGAAAGCGAGAGUAAUACUCGAUGGUAUUAAAGGACUCAAGUCUUUUAAUUAAAGCUCCGGCGCUUUGGGAGAAGCCUAUGGCCUAUCAGCUAGUUGGUGCGGUAACGGCGCACCAAGGCAACGACGGGUAUGGGGUGCGAGAGCAUGGCCCCACUCACUGGGACUGAGACACUGCCCAGACUCCUACGGGAGGCUGCAGUCAAGAAUCUUCCUCAAUGGGCGAAAGCCUGAAGGAGCGACGCCGCGUGUAUGAAGAAGCUCUUCGGAGUGUAAAAUACUUUUAUCUGGGACGAAACAAUGACGUACCAGAG